AAGGUUGGAAAAGACCACUAAGAUCAUCUAGUUCAACCGUCAACCCAAAGAAAUUAGCAUAUGACUGGGUAAAUAAAUUUAGUUCAUUAAUAUAAAGCAUUUUGAGUCCUGUGUAUGUGGAGUUCCUUCUGGGAUACAAGCCUGGCAUAUAAUGUGUUUGGUUAUGGUGUUUUGUUCUUAGCGUUUUGAGAAGGAUCUGAUGCUGAAAUGGGCAUACUUCGGAGUAGUGAUCUCAUCCUGCACAUGAUGGAAUAAGUGCUUUACUGAAUAUUUGUACAGAUUUCUGAAAGGGAUAUGCAAUAAUAUCUUGGGAUUAAUAUAAUCUCUGAAUUACUUGGACAGUUUGCCAGUAUGUGAUGUAAUUACUAUUAGGUUCCAGGUCAAAGUUUGACCCAGUGAGGUCACCCGUUGUUUUCAUUGUUGCUUCUGAUUUUACAGGUUGUAGAAAGCUACGUGCGGGAUACACAAAAAGAGGAAAUAACAUUACAUUCAUGGACUAUUUUAAGACCUGGGAUUAACUGCUUAACUUUGAAAGCAUUUAAAAAAAAAAGAGAGAGAAAACAUGGCAAGUUGAACAAUAUUAGAACAUGAUCUGCUGGCAUUCAGUUGAAUACUGUCAUUUAAGUUACUCAGAUGUAGAGAGAGAAAACAAUGUGCAGAUUCUGCAAGGGGUUCAGCUCCUCUGGUCAUGGACAAGGAUAAAAGUUCACCUAUCUGUGCAAGCGGCGCUGGUACCCUGACUGCACGAUGUGACCCUGCACACAGGAGGCUGUGUGCCUUUGUUCCAGCACCAGCAAUGCACUUUUCCCUUGACUUCCAGCACAUGCUCCUCAGGUCGACUUUACCUGCAGUGCUGAGCUCUGGUGACAGCAUGCUAUUGUGACUUGCAUCGAGCAGGAAGCUUUCAAAGCCACGUGCCAAAGAGAUCCCUCAGUCCCAGCAGAGGGUGAGGCAGGACCCGGCAGUAGGGCUCAAGAGGAGGAACUGCUGAGAACGACACUUCUCGUUUCCAGAAAUGAGAAGAACCAAGAGCUGCGUGCAGAUUCCUCCAGGAAUGCGAUGAGAAGGGCUGCACCAUCCCUGUCCUGCUGCGGGAAGGGAGGCACUUCUCUCUCCUUUCCCACUUUCUGUAAAACACCACUUACUAUAAAAGGACAGCUGGAUCCG